GAGGAUUUAGCUCAGUGGUGUAAGCGCCUGCCUGGCAAGCAUGAGGUUUCGAGUUCAAUCCCCAGUAUCAUCA
rfam:Cavia porcellus supercont2_18 genomic scaffold, whole genome shotgun sequence.